AACGCACCUUGCGCCUUUUGGUAUUCCGAAAGGCAUGCCUGUUUGAGUGUCAUGUAGACUCAACCCCUCGGGUUUCCGAGGUGAGUCGGAUUUGGGCCCUUGCCUGCCGGCUGGCCUUAAAUGUGUUAGCGGAUACGCACAGACGUUUUAAGUACUCGUCGAGGCGCCCGCUCAUAACCCCCACUACUUUUGCACUCUGACCUCAAAUCAGGUAGGGCUACCCGCUGAACUUAA
rnacentral:misc_RNA from 1 species